GACGAACGCUGGCGGCGUGCCUAAUACAUGCAAGUUGAGCGCUGACGGUUGGUACUUGUACCAACUGGAUGAGCAGCGAACGGGUGAGUAACGCGUGGGGAAUCUGCCUUUGAGCGGGGGACAACAUUUGGAAACGAAUGCUAAUACCGCAUAAAAACUUUAAACACAAGUUUUAAGUUUGAAAGAGGCAAUUGCAUCACUCAAAGAUGAUCCCGCGUUGUAUUAGCUAGUUGGUGAGGUAAAGGCUCACCAAGGCGAUGAUACAUAGCCGACCUGAGAGGGUGAUAGGCGACAUUGGGACGGGGACACGGCCCAAACCACUACGGGAGGCAGCAGUAGGGGAUCUUCGGGGAAGGACGCAAGUCUGACCGAGCAACGCCGCGUGAGUGAAGAAGGGUGUCGGAUCGUAAAACUCUGUUGGUAGAGAAGAACGUUGGUGAGAGUGGAAAGCUCAUCAAGUGACGGUAACUACGCAGAAAGGGACGGCUAACUACGUG
rnacentral:rRNA from 1 species